UUUCUGUUUCUGUUUUUGUUUUUUUUGUUUUUUUUUCCCCUAGCUCAUCUGGCUGGACCCAGAUCUUGCGACAUUUUUUUUUCCACUCACUUGGACUGACUUCUUUUGUUUGUUUUAACUUUUGGUCACCAUUCUCUUUCCCAAUUGCUUCGGCACUUUAGAUACCUGGUUUGCAUGCCAGCCUAAAUCGUUUAGAUCUGCUAGAACCUUCUUCAUAAAGCCCAUGUCCCAACAUGUGACUUGGCAAAGCUGCCAAAGCCUCAUAUUAUUUGGUCUUCUUAUUGCUGCUAUAAAAUUCCUGAUCCCCCUCCCCCAAAAAACCGAAAUGAAAAGAAAACACAAAACCAAACCAAAAGAAAAUAUAAAGCUUAAAGAAGGCAAUUUAGUGCACACUCUGAUUCACAGUUCAAGGCUUCCAUCCAUCAAGAUAGAGAAGUCAGGAAAGCAAAAUUUUGAGGCAGUUAGUUAUGUUUUAUCCACAGUGUGUGUGUGUGUGUGUGUGUGUGUGUGUGAGAGAGAGAGAGAGAGAGAGAGAGAGAGAGAGAGACUGUGUAUGGGGGGGGGCAUGUACAUGCCACUGGGUAUGUGUGGUCAGAGGAUAACUGAAGAUAUUGGUUCUUGUCAUCCACUUUGUUGAGAUAUGCCCCUCAUUUACUGCUCUAGAUUCUCAUAUCUCUACCCUCCAUUUCUGUAGGACACUCUGAUUACAGCCAUACACUAUUUAAAAGAACUUUCCCUGAGUUCUACCUAUCUAAACUGAGGCCUUCAUGUAUACAUGGCAAAUACUUCCCCCACUAAGCCAUCAGCCCAGCUCCCCAGUGGACAAUUUUCCAGCCAUUAACCUCUACUCCUUGUACCCUUAAGCUUCUGAUCAUAUCAUUGUGUAAAAUAAAUUCAGUCCCUCAUAAAGAACUUAUAGUCCUUAGCAACACUAAUACUGUUGGAGAGUCUAAAGACUACGUCUCUUCUGAGAAUGAGAACAAUUGCUUGAUUUUUGAGCUUCUAUAAAA
rnacentral:lncRNA from 1 species